AUUCUCUAUCUGAUGGAGGGCAAAAAUUUCCAUUUAACUGUGUCUCACAUCGAACUCCUCAUUUGAAAGGGGCACCAGAAUGACUCUUUUUGUUCCAGUGGUUCUCAAAUUCACAUCCUCUGUCGAAGAGGUCUAUAAAUGUCAUCCAGUCAUACCAGGGCUUCAGUGCCUCUCCCUCUCCCUAUGGGAGCCUCAGACACACCACAUCUAGUCAUAAAUAUUUCCUCUUCUCCCUGUGUCUAUUGGGCAACAAAGCCUUCUCGAAUGCCCAUAUUUGACUGAAAUAUUUCCUUUUUUUUUCAGUGGUGGACACAUACCUACACUCUCUUGUAAAGUGUAAAUAGAUCUUGUCUUAUUGACUAUGUGUGCCUGCUAUAUUACAACUGUCUAAGAUUACUUCCAAACUUCUUCCUGUUACAAAUAUUCGGAGACAUUCCUCCAUUCAAGAAAAGUGGCCUUGCUCUUAUGUCAUCUGACUAAAGGUUUCAUAGACCAAAGAUAACCAUCCAACCUGUUGGAAUACUGAAACAAUUGCUGCCUGCUUUCCACACACUACAUAAAAUAUGUGGAUAUCCUAAAUUCUACAAAAAAAUAUUUGUAAGCAAAUCAAGCAAUACUGGGACUCCCUCUUCUCCAGAAGACAGAGACAUCCUGGCCUCCAUGCAGAGGAAUGUGUGGAUAGACAUAUAUUUAAGGAAGACACUAAACCAGAAAAUACUACAUUACACCCUCUUAAAAGACUUCUAAGAUUGUUGUCAUGCCUACCACUGACAUUCAGAUGAUGUGUAUUCUUGAUUGUGAUUUCAUGUUUGGAGCUGAUGAAGGAACCCAGGAGAAGAACAUAUGCCUGAGAAGAAGAACUAGUGUGGAACUGUCAGCCAGGUUUUUGGUGAGUGCUCAGACUGCUUCCUGAUCCGGCACCACAUUUACUACAGUGGACAGAUGCUCUAGUCUCUGAUGAGGAGUUGCUAGCUGUAAGGAAGUACCUGGAAUGGGCUCCACUGCAUGAG
rnacentral:lncRNA from 1 species